GAUGAACGCUGGCGGCGUGCCUAAUACAUGCAAGUCGAGCGAACAGACGAGGAGCUUACUCCUCUGACGUUAGCGGCGGCCGGGUGAGUAACACGUGGAUAACCUACCUAUAAGACUGGGAUAACUUCGGGAAACCGGAGCUAAUACCGGAUAACAUGUUGAACCGCAUGGUUCAACAGUGAAAGACGGUCUUGCUGUCACUUAUAGAUGGAUCCGCGUCGCAUUAGCUAGUUGGUAAGGUAACGGCUUACCAAGGCAACGAUGCGUAGCCGACCUGAGAGGGUGAUCGGCCACACUGGAACUGAGACACGGUCCAGACUCCUACGGGAGGCAGCAGUAGGGAAUCUUCCGCAAAGGGCGAAAGCCUGACGGAGCAACGCCGCGUGAGUGAAGAAGGUCUUCGGAUCGUAAAACUCUGUUAUUAGGGAAGAACAAAUGUGUAAGUAACUAUGCACGUCUUGACGGUACCUAAUCAGAAAGCCACGGCUAACUACGUG
rnacentral:rRNA from 1 species